UACGUAGGUGGCAAGCGUUGUCCGGAAUUAUUGGGCGUAAAGGGCGUGUAGGUGGAUUCUUAAGUCGUGUGUCUAAGUGCGGUGCUCAACACCGUAUGGGCGCAGGAAACUGGGAAUCUUGAGUGCAGGAGAGGAAAGUGGAAUUCCCAGUGUAGCGGUGAAAUGCGUAGAUAUUGGGAGGAACACCAGUGGCGAAGGCGACUUUCUGGACUGUGUCUGACACUGAGGCGCGAAAGCCAGGGGAGCGAACGGGAUUAGAUACCCCGGUAGUCCUGGCCGUAAACGAUGGGUACUAGGUGUAGAGGGUAUCGACCCCUUCUGUGCCGGAGUUAACGCAAUAAGUACCCCGCCUGGGGAGUACGGCCGCAAGGUUGAA
rnacentral:rRNA from 1 species